UGAGGAAUAUUGGUCAAUGGACGCAAGUCUGAACCAGCCAAGUAGCGUGCAGGAUGACGGCCCUAUGGGUUGUAAACUGCUUUUAUAUGGGGAUAAAGUGGGGAACGUGUUCCCUUUUGCAGAUACCAUAUGAAUAAGGACCGGCUAAUUCCGUGCCAGCAGCCGCGGUAAUACGGAAGGUUCGGGCGUUAUCCGGAUUUAUUGGGUUUAAAGGGAGCGUAGGCCGUUUGGUAAGCGUGUUGUGAAAUGUAGGAGCUCAACUUCUAGAUUGCAGCGCGAACUGUCAGACUUGAGUGCGCACAACGUAGGCGGAAUUCAUGGUGUAGCGGUGAAAUGCUUAGAUAUCAUGAAGAACUCCGAUUGCGAAGGCAGCUUACGGGAGCGCAACUGACGCUGAAGCUCGAAGGUGCGGGUAUCGAACAGG
rnacentral:rRNA from 1 species